AGACCCGAAACCCGGUGAUCUAGCCAUGGGCAGGUUGAAGGUUGGGUAACACUAACUGGAGGACCGAACCGACUAAUGUUGAAAAAUUAGCGGAUGACCUGUGGCUGGGGGUGAAAGGCCAAUCAAACCGGGAGAUAGCUGGUUCUCCCCGAAAGCUAUUUAGGUAGCGCCUCGUGAAUUCAUCUCCGGGGGUAGAGCACUGUUUCGGCUAGGGGGCCAUCCCGGCUUACCAACCCGAUGCAAACUGCGAAUACCGGAGAAUGUUAUCACGGGAGACACACGGCGGGUGCUAACGUCCGUCGUGAAGAGGGAAACAACCCAGACCGCCAGCUAAGGUCCCAAAGUCAUGGUUAAGUGGGAAACGAUGUGGGAAGGCCCAGACAGCCAGGAUGUUGGCUUAGAAGCAGCCAUCAUUUAAAGAAAGCGUAAUAGCUCACUGGUCGAGUCGGCCUGCGCGGAAGAUGUAACGGGGCUAAACCAUGCACCGAAGCUGCGGCAGCGACGCUUAUGCGUUGUUGGGUAGGGGAGCGUUCUGUAAGCCUGUGAAGGUGUGUCGUGAGGCAUGCUGGAGGUAUCAGAAGUGCGAAUGCUGACAUAAGUAACGAUAAAGCGGGUGAAAAGCCCGCUCGCCGGAAGACCAAGGGUUCCUGUCCAACGUUAAUCGGGGCAGGGUGAGUCGACCCCUAAGGCGAGGCCGAAAGGCGUAGUCGAUGGGAAACGGGUUAAUAUUCCCGUACUUGGUGUUACUGCGAAGGGGGGACGGAGAAGGCUAUGUUGGCCGGGCGACGGUUGUCCCGGUUUAAGCGUGUAGGUGUGUGUUCCAGGUAAAUCCGGUUCACUUUAACACUGAGGCGUGAUGACGAGGCACUACGGUGCUGAAGUAACAAAUGCCCUGCUUCCAGGAAAAGCCUCUAAGCAUCAGGUAACAUCAAAUCGUACCCCAAACCGACACAGGUGGUCAGGUAGAGAAUACCAAGGCGCUUGAGAGAACUCGGGUGAAGGAACUAGGCAAAAUGGUGCCGUAACUUCGGGAGAAGGCACGCUGACACGUAGGUGAAGUGAUUUACUCACGGAGCUGAAGUCAGUCGAAGAUACCAGCUGGCUGCAACUGUUUAUUAAAAACACAGCACUGUGCAAACACGAAAGUGGACGUAUACGGUGUGACGCCUGCCCGGUGCCGGAAGGUUAAUUGAUGGGGUCAGCGCAAGCGAAGCUCCUGAUCGAAGCCCCGGUAAACGGCGGCCGUAACUAUAACGGU
rnacentral:rRNA from 1 species